rnacentral:rRNA from 1 species
CGGUGCCGGUGAGGUGUCGGGUUAAGUCCCAUAACGAGCGCAACCCCUAUUCGUUAGUUGCCAUCAGGUCAUGCUGGGGACUCUAACAAAACUGCCCGCGUAAGCGUGGAGGAAGGUGGGGAUGACGUCAAAUCAGCACGGCCCUUACGUCCAGGGCUACACACGUGCUACAAUGGCCGGUACAGAGGGCAGCCACUUGGUGACAAGGAGCAAAUCUCAAAAGCCGGUCUCAGUUCGGAUCGGAGUCUGCAACUCGACUCCGUGAAGUUGGAUUCGCUAGUAAUCGUAGAUCAGCAAUGCUACGGUGAAUACGUUCCCGGCCUU